rnacentral:rRNA from 1 species
UACAGAGGGGGCAAGCGUUGUCCGGAUUUACUGGGCGUACAGCGCGCGCAGGCGGUGGUGUAGGUACCUGGUGACAGUCUCGGGCUCAACUCGAGGGGGUCUGGGUAGACCGCACCGCUGGAGGCAGGGAGAGGGAUGUGGAAUACCCGGUGGAGCGGUGAAAUGCGUAGAGAUCGGGUGGAACACCAGUGGCGAAGGCGGCAUCCUGGCCCUGACCUGACGCUGAGGCGCGAGAGCGUGGGGAGCGAACAGG